UACGUAGGGGGCAAGCGUUUGUCCGGAUUUACUGGGCGUAAAGAGCGUGUAGGCGGCCAAGCAGGUCCGUUGUGAAAACUGGAGGCUUAACCUCCAGACGUCGACGGAAACCGCGUGGCUAGAGUCCGGAAGAGGAGAGUGGAAUUCCUGGUGUAGCGGUGAAAUGCGCAGAUAUCAGGAAGAACACCAAUGGCGAAGGCAGCUCUCUGGGACGGUACUGACGCUGAGACGCGAAAAGCGUGGGGAGCGAACAGG
rnacentral:rRNA from 1 species